AAAAACACGAUGACACAAAUUUGAACGAUGGCGCAAUUUCGACCGUUGCCCUUUCCGUAGGGCGAAUGAACUUUCACGCGCGAAUUCGGAAUGGCGCGUAAGAUGAUUUGCACCUUGCUCGUGAUGCGGAGCGUACCGAAUAUACUGAUGCUCUUGAUGCAGAGCGAAGAAAGAAACAAUUCACACACUAAUCCGUAUCUAUCCGGUUCGAAGGACCAAAAAUGUGAGAAACCUCACGAAACCAGUCGUGCGAGAUUGUUUCUUUCGCAAAAUCUUUCCGGAUUCCUUUUAAUACGUGUAACGCGCGCGAUGAUCGGUUAGCUACUGUGUAUUCAUUUGUCCUUAAGUUCAUUUACAUCGAGUUCAUUUCCUAAUCCUAAUAGUUCAUUAAUCAUUGCCCUCGAUCGGUAGUCAUAAUUACUCCUCUAGUGCAGUUUUUAGCUAAGGUCUAUAUUGCAUGUAAAUAUCCGUGAAAUAUUUCAACUUAAUUUUAAUUAAUUCAGAUAAAUCUCAACAGGUGUCUUGGCUAAUGUGUCUUGGCUAAUGUGUUUUUGCUAAGGUGUCUUGGCUAAUGUGUCUUGGCUAAUGUGUCUUGGCUGUGGUGUCUCGGCUAAGGUGUCUUGGCUAAAGUAUCUUGGCUAAGGUGUCUUGGCUAAUGUGUCUUGGCUAAGGUGUCUUGGCUAAUGUGUCUUAGCUAAUGUGUCUUGGCUAAGGUGUCUUGGCUAAGGUGUCUUGGCUAAGGUGUCUUGGCUAAUGUGUCUUGGCUAAGGUGUCUUGGCUGAUGUGUCUUGGCUAAUGUGUCUUGGCUAAGGUGUCUUGGCUAAUGCGUCUUGGCUAAUGUGUCUUGGCUAAGGUGUCUUGGCUAAAGUGUCUUGGCUAAGGUGUCUUGUUUAAUGUGUCUUGGCUUAUGUGUCUUGGCUAAGGUGUCUUGGCUAAUGUGUCUUGGCUAAUGUGUCUUGGCUAAUGUGUCUUGGCUAAGGUGUCUUGGCUAAUGUGUCUUGACUAAGGUGUCUUGGCUAAUGUGUCUUGGCUAAUGUGUCUUGGCUAAGGUGUCUUGGCUAAGGUGUCUUGGGUAAGGUGUCUUGGCUAAUGUGUCUCGGCUGAGGUGUCUUGGCUAAGGUGUCUUGGCUAAUGUGUCUUGGCUAAUGUGUCUUGGCUAAGGUGUCUUGGCUAAGGUGUCUUGGCUAAUGUGUCUCGGCUAAAGUGUCUUGGCUAAGGUGUCUUGGCUAAUGUGUCUUGGCUAAGGUGUCUUGGCUAAGGUGUCUUGGCUAAGGUGUUUUGGCUAAGGUGUCUUGGCUAAUGUGUCUUGGCUAAGGUGUCUUGGCUAAGGUGUCUUGGCUAAAGUGUCUUGGCUAAGGUGUCUUGGCUAAUGUGUCUCGGCUAAGGUGUCUUGGCUAAUGUGUCUUGGCUAAUGUGUCUUGGCUAAAGUGUCUUGGCUAAGGUGUCUUGGCUAAUGUGUCUCGGCUAAGGUGUCUUGGCUAAGGUGUCUUGGCUAAGGUGUCUUGGCUAAGGUGUCUCGGCUAAUGUGUCUUGGCUAAGGUGUCUUAGCUAAGGUGUCUUGGCUAAUGUGUUUUGGCUAAGGUGUCUUGGCUAAUGUGUCUUGGCUAAGGUGUCUUGGCUAAGGUGUCUUGGCUAAAGUGUCUUGGCUAAGGUGUCUUGGCUAAGGUGUCUUGGCUAAGGUGUCUUGGCUAAAGUGUCUUGGCUAAGGUGUCUUGGCUAAUGUGUCUUGGCUAAUGUGUCUUGGCUAAGGUGUCUCGGCUAAUGUGUCUUGGCUAAGGUGUCUUGGCUAAUGUGUCUUGGCUAAUGUGUCUUGGCUAAGGUGUCUUGGCUAAUGUGUCUUGGCUAAGGUGUCUUGGCUAAUGUGUCUUGGCUAAUGUGUCUUGGCUAAUGUGUCUUGGCUAAUGUGUCUUGGCUAAUGUGUCUUGGCUAUGGUGUCUUGGCUAAGGUGUCUUGGCUAAGGUGUCUUGGCUAAGGUGUCUUGGCUAAGGUGUCUUGGCUAAUGUGUCUUGGCUAAUGUGUCUUGGCUAAUGUGUCUUGGCUAAUGUGUCUCGGCUAAGGUGUCUUGGCUAAUGUGUCUUGGCUAAGGUGUCUUGGCUAAGGUGUCUUGGCUAAUGUGUCUUGGCUAAUGUGUCUUGGCUAAGGUGUCUUGGCUAAGGUGUCUUGGCUAAGGUGUCUUGGCUAAUGUGUCUUGGCUAAGGUGUCUUGGCUAAUGUGUCUUGGCUAAUGUGUCUUGGCUAAGGUGUCUUGGCUAAUGUAUCUUGGCUAAGGUGUCUUGGCUAAUGUGUCUUGGCUAAUGUGUCUUGGCUAAUGUGUCUUGGCUAAGGUGUCUUGGCUAAUGUGUCUUGGCUAAUGUGUCUUGGCUAAAGUGUCUUGGCUAAGGUGUCUUGGCUAAGGUGUCUUGGCUAAUGUGUCUUGGCUAAGGUGUCUUGGCUAAGGUGUCUUGGCUAAUGUGUCUUGGCUAAGGUGUCUUGGCUAAUGUGUCUUGGCUAAUGUGUCUUGGCUAAGGUGUCUUGGCUAAUGUGUCUUGGCUAAGGUGUCUUGGCUAAUGUGUCUUGGCUAAUGUGUCUUGGCUAAUGUGUCUUGGCUAAUGUGUCUUGGCUAAUGUGUCUUGGCUAUGGUGUCUUGGCUAAGGUGUCUUGGCUAAGGUGUCUUGGCUAAGGUGUCUUGGCUAAGGUGUCUUGGCUAAUGUGUCUUGGCUAAUGUGUCUUGGCUAAUGUGUCUUGGCUAAGGUGUCUUGGCUAAGGUGUCUUGGCUAAUGUGUCUUGGCUAAGGUGUCUUGGCUAAUGUGUCUUGGCUAAUGUGUCUUGGCUAAUGUGUCUUGGCUAAGGUGUCUUGGCUAAUGUGUCUCGGCUAAUGUGUCUUGGCUAAUGUGUCUUGGCUAAUGUGUCUUGGCUAAUGUGUCUUGGCUAAUGUGUCUUGGCUAAUGUGUCUUGGCUAAUGUGUCUUGGCUAAUGUGUCUCGGCUAAUGUGUCUCGGCUAAUGUGUCUUGGCUAAGGUGUCUUGGCUAAGGUGUCUUGGCUAAUGUGUUUUGCUAAGGUGUCUUGGCUAAGGUGUCUUGGCUAAUGUGUCUUGGCUAAUGUGUCUUGGCUAAGGUGUCUUGGCUAAUGUGUCUUGGCUAAUGUGUCUUGGCUAAUGUGUCUUGGCUAAUGUGUCUCGGCUAAUGUGUCUUGGCUAAGGUGUCUUGGCUAAGGUGUCUUGGCUAAUGUGUCUUGGCUAAUGUGUCUUGGCUAAUGUGUCUUGGCUAAUGUGUCUCGGCUAAUGUGUCUCGGCUAAGGUGUCUUGGCUAAUGUGUCUUGGCUAAUGUGUCUUGGCUAAUGUGUCUUGGCUAAGGUGUCUUGGCUAAGGUGUCUCGGCUAAUGUGUCUUGGCUAAGGUGUCUUGGCUAAUGUGUCUUGGCUAAUGUGUCUUGGCUAAGGUGUCUUGGCUAAUGUGUCUUGGCUAAGGUGUCUUGGCUAAUGUGUCUUGGCUAAUGUGUCUUGGCUAAUGUGUCUUGGCUAAUGUGUCUUGGCUAAUGUGUCUUGGCUAUGGUGUCUUGGCUAAGGUGUCUUGGCUAAGGUGUCUUGGCUAAGGUGUCUUGGCUAAGGUGUCUUGGCUAAUGUGUCUUGGCUAAUGUGUCUUGGCUAAUGUGUCUUGGCUAAUGUGUCUCGGCUAAGGUGUCUUGGCUAAUGUGUCUUGGCUAAGGUGUCUUGGCUAAGGUGUCUUGGCUAAUGUGUCUUGGCUAAUGUGUCUUGGCUAAGGUGUCUUGGCUAAGGUGUCUUGGCUAAGGUGUCUUGGCUAAUGUAUCUUGGCUAAGGUGUCUUGGCUAAUGUGUCUUGGCUAAUGUGUCUUGGCUAAUGUGUCUUGGCUAAGGUGUCUUGGCUAAUGUGUCUUGGCUAAUGUGUCUUGGCUAAAGUGUCUUGGCUAAGGUGUCUUGGCUAAGGUGUCUUGGCUAAUGUGUCUUGGCUAAGGUGUCUUGGCUAAGGUGUCUUGGCUAAUGUGUCUUGGCUAAGGUGUCUUGGCUAAGGUGUCUUGGCUAAUGUGUCUUGGCUAAGGUGUCUCGGCUAAUGUGUCUUGGCUAAUGUGUCUUGGCUAAUGUGUC